UAUUCACCUGAUCGAGGGGUUAAUUCUGCCCUAUGUGAUAAUACAAUGUGUUCACCUGAUCGAGGGGUUAAUUCUGCCCUAUGUGAUAAUACAAUGUAUU